GACGAACGCUGGCGGCGUGCUUAACACAUGCAAGUCGAACGAAGUGGCGAACGGGUGAGUAACGCGUAAUCAACCUGCCCUUCAGCGGGGGACAACAGUUGGAAACGACUGCUAAUACCGCAUACUGAAGGAGGGGAUUGCGUCUGAUUAGCUAGUUGGAGGGGUAACGGCCAACCAAGGCGAUGAGCAGUAGCCAGUCUUGGAUGAUGAACGGCCAAGUUGGGACUGAGAAACGGCCAAGACUCCUACAGGAGGCAGCAGGGGGGAAUCUGCCGCAAUGGACGAAAGUCUGACGGAGCAACGCCGCGUUAGUGAUGACGGCCUUCGGGUUGUAAAGCUCUGUUAAUCGGGACGCGGUACCGGAAUAGAAAGCCACGGCUAACUACGUGCCAGCAGCCGCGGUAAUAC
rnacentral:rRNA from 1 species